rnacentral:misc_RNA from 1 species
AAAGUCGUAACAAGGUCUCCGUAGGUGAACCUGCGGAGGGAUCAUUACUGAAUGGUCAUUCGACCUUCAAACCCUUCAAACCUGUGGAAGCAAACAUGUGCUUCGGCGCCCCGGCGUCGCUUUUAUGCUGUAAUGAGUCUUGUGUCUGAAUAAUGCAAAGAAUUAAAACUUUCAACAAAGGAUCUCUUGGCUCUC